rnacentral:rRNA from 1 species
UCCAAUCAGUGAAACUGAUCUUCCCGUGAAGAAGCGGGAAUAUACCUAUAAGACGAGAAGACCCCAUGGAGCUUUAAAUCCAACAGCACCUAUUACCCAUACAUCUUUAUAUUUUUUUAGCAAAUGCUCGUUCGGUUUUAGGUUGGGGUGACCAUGGAGUAAAAAAUAACCUCCACGAAAAAAGGCAUAAAACCCUUAUCAAAGAGCCACAUCUCUAUGAAUUAGUAAACUAAUUUCUGAUGAUCCGAUAUUCGAUCAACGAACCAAGUUACCCUGGGGAUAACAGCGCAAUCCGCCUUAAGAGCCCCUAUCGACAGGCGGGUUUACGACCUCGAUGUUGGAUCAGGGUAUCCCAGUGGUGCAACAGCUACUAAAGGUUCGUUUGUUCAACGAUUAAAACCCU